rnacentral:pre_miRNA from 1 species
ACACGCCCCGACACGACGAGGACGGGGCGCCGGAAUGUGGAUUCCGGCGCCCCGUCCUCGUCGUGUCGGGUCCCGC